rnacentral:tRNA from 2 species
UCCAGAAUAGCAUUAAUUGGUAGAGCACCUGUUUCGUAAACAGGAGGUUGCAGGUUCGAUCCCUGUUUCUGGAU